rnacentral:misc_RNA from 1 species
UGAGCUCGCCAUUUCUGCACACGCACACCCGUUUUCUGCUCGGCACGGCUGUUUUUUUUUUUUAUGUGGGUGUGUGCGUUCUCGUUGCGUUCUCAUUUGUUUGCUCUUGUGGUGUCCGUCAUUCUACAGGCGCGUUGUCCCUGCCAGCGCAAGCAGCACAGAAUACAAAAAAGUCUGCGAACGAACGCGGGAAAGGAUAGAAGAAGAGAAAGAAACAACACGAAGAAAGACGACGAGAGACUUGCGGUGCGCUGCUCUACCGACGAUACGGCCCCUUGUCGGUUUGGCUUGUGGAUGUGGGUGUAAGUGUGGGGUGGUGUUGUUUGUUUGGCGUUGUGGCACUCUUUUCGCCCUUCCCCCGUCCCCCCUUCCCCCCUUUUUUUUGCUCGCAGCUGUUACGCAUUUUCACACACGCACACGCAAGCCUCUGAUCGCGUGCGGAGAGGGAGCCGCACAUUGGCUCGCUCUCUGUGUCUUUUAUUUUUCUGUGCGUUUUUGUUUAUGUGCGACGCGCACUGGUUCUAUGACUCAGAGUUUUUGCUGCACCACACCGCUAGCCCCCCCCUCUCCCUUCCAGUUCUUCGCCGCACAGAAGCUUAGAUGAGUUGGCACGAUACCCAGGUGGCCUUAAAAUAUCUCUCCCGUUUGUUUCGUUGUUUUUCCUCGUCAUUUGCUUUUGCGGUUUCGGAGACGUGACGCCGCGAUAGAAACCCCAGGCGUGGAGACAUACUUUGCUUCGUUGUUGUUGACCACUGAGGAGUGGGCCUCUGUUCUCUCUUCGCCCUGAGCCCUCCUCCAAUCUUUCAUUUUCUGUCUUGUUUGCGUUUUUUUCUCUGUUGUGGUUUUCUCGUCGUCACCUUGGUUAUGUUGUUCUUGUGGGAGCACAUGGACAUCAACAGUUGCAGGUAAAGGCUGCCUGCUGUUUUUUGUUUGUGUGUGUGCGUGUCCUCCUCUUCGUUGCCGCCUCCGUUUGGGUGAUCGUGUUGCCUUCUCUUCUCCGUGAGUGCGCUCUGCUUCCUCUUCGCAAGUUAGUUUUUCGUUUGUUUUACCUCCUGUUCUUCGACUGCACGGCUUUACGUUGUCGUAUGUGCUGCUGAGUAGAACGCUUUUGUUUUGCUCGCCGAUUGGUCGUUGUUGCUGUCCACUCGCCUUGUUCUUCGGACUUCCGCUGGCUGGGUACUCUCGUCUCCCCCCUCCCUUCGCUUCUCUUCCCCCGUCCUCCGCAGGUCUCUCUCCCCUUUUGCCUCUCUGUGUUGUCCCCCACUCUUUUUUUUUGCCGGGUCUCCUUUUGCGUCUUUGAUUCAGUGGACGUGUGUGCGUGUCAUCUCUCCGUCUGUCUAUCUGUGCGUGUGCGUGCGUGUCGUUGUGUAUUCCGGCAUUUGCGGACGCACUUUUUUUUUCUUCGCUUUCUCUUCUCGGUGGAGUGGUGCUUUAAGGGUACCUCCGCCCUUCAAGCUCUUUCAAGCGUUCUCUGUCUCUCUCUCUGUAUAUACAUAGUUGCUUGCCUUGUUUGUGAACUCACCUUUUGUUGCUUGGGUGCUUUCUUCUCUGGUUUCUCCUCCGUGUAUCGCUCGCGCUUGGUGAUUUGUUGUGGGCGGGUGGCGUGUGUGUGUGUUUUUUUUCUUGCUCGGCUCAUCGUUUCGGGACAUUUUCCGCCACUUGCGUGCGUGUCCGUCAAGGCGCCCCCAUCUCUCGGUGUGCUCAAGCAGGCAGUGCUUUCGAAACGCCUGCAUAGACGGACAUCUCUUGCUCGACAGGAACGAACACAACAAAGAAAGAGAACGCAAUCUUUUUUUUUUCUGUUCCGACUGCGCACUUGUGAACCUGCAGCGCUCGACCCGCUUGAGAUCGAGGAAGUGUGCACCGCCGGCGUCAAGCCAGACAGCACCAGAAAGCACGGAAAGCGUGUUUCGAGCGGGCGUCGCUCUUUGACACUUUCGACACCCGCGGAGCAUCGACGCUCACGAGAGGCAGAGAUGAGCGGCAUCACGGUGCAACUUGUGUUUGCCUUCGUCGGCACGCGCGUGCCCUACUUUAUGCUGGAGUCGGCAACCGCUGCCAGCUCGCCCGCGCGUUCACCAUUUGGCAACGCGUCCUUGGUGUCGUUUAACGCGGCAGCGCAACCGACGCUGCGUGCGGACUCUGCUCGGACGUCUCCGCACCUGACUCCCUGCAUUCCGACCAACCUGUUCACGGCGCAGGGGCUCCUGUCCCAUCUCGCAAAGGCGCUGGAGCCGUCCCUGCACGCCGCCGCGGCCCCUGAGGCUGCCACUACCGAGUCUGCCUCGCUAUCGCCGACGGUUCCACUGCCUUUUCACAAGCCUCCCGUAUUCGAGCUCUUUGACUACGCUAGCCUCGACCCGCUCGAGGGCUCAGCGGCGCUGCAUGAUGAGCAAGUCCUGCUGGUGCUGUGCGACAUCGCCACCACGGCACAACUCGUGGAGGCACUACAGCUCGAGUGGUUGGAGGUCUACAGCGGCGCCCACCAUCCGCACCACCGCAGCUGCUCCGCAUCCACGCUUGAACCGGCACAUACGACAGACAUGGCAGUUUGCACGACAGAAGAGAAGCUGCGAAACGUGGCGCAUGCACAGCAGGCACUCUGCAAGCCCGUUGGGCUUCACCUCUCUCUCUUAAGUAAGGAGUUGCUGUCACGGGAAGCGACGUUGACUGCGCAGAAGGAGCAGCUCGCACAGAUGCGAUCCUGCGCAGCAGCGGGCACCGCUCCUGCUGCUGCCCCUGCAACAGCGAUCGGGGGCGACGGUGUCUCAACGCCCAUGUUGUGUGGUCGAGCCGCUUCGUUUCCGCUAUUGGUGGAGCUGGAGCCCAGUUUGGCCUCAGAACCAGCUCUGAGUGCCACUGAUGCCACGCAUCUUCAGAAGUUGGAGGCACCGCUGGCGCUCUGCGAAGCACGGGUGCGAGCUGUCGAAUCCCUCAUGCAGCGCGCCGCAAAGCACCACGCCAAGCUGCUGGAGCUCGCCGCGAGUGAACGUGCAACAGAAGAAGCAUUCCAGAGCGGCAAUGUCAGUCGCGCCUGCGCGGAAUACCUCGAGCGCACCGAGCAGGACCGCAGCGCCGCAGAGGCCAUUAUUGCGGAUUAUCAGGUUGAGAUGACUCGCCAGGUGAAGGUCGUGCGGCAGCUGGUCGCCUACAUCACCCAGGUGCGGAGACUGGUGAGCAAGGCCAAAUAUGAAAUGGGCGUAGUGGAGCUGAUCCUUUCACGGCUGUCGUUGACGAGCCUGCGACCACGGCUAAUGGAGGAGGCGGAGGCGCUGCUGCGCCGCCGCGUCAUCCUGCGACGUGCCGCCCGUCGCCAAAUGCUCCUGUUGCAGGAGACAGAGUUCGUCGAGUUGCAGCAAGACCUUGAGUCCUUCUCGCAGCGGAUGGAGGUGCAGAAAGUGCUACCUGAGAAGGUGCGCUGGUAUCUGCGGGCACCGUUGCCCAGCCUUAUGCCCGAAGAAGACCCGGUCGCCACGCUGCUCGACCAUGCUCUUAUUGACCGCGAGGAGGAUGAGGCGCAAGAGCUGGUGGAAAAGACUCGCGUGCACAUGACGGAUUCUUUGGACCCGGCAAAAAAUGCCCUGCAGAUCACGGAAGCGCUGCUGCCGGUGGAGCGGCUCGCGCGGCGUUUGGAGGAGGCUCGUGCAAGCGCUGCGCAGUACAAGAGUCGCGUGGAGGAGCUGGAGGAGAGGCUGAAAAUGUACGAGACUGCCGAGGCGCUCUCGCCACCACCGCUGCAGGACAGUGUGGUCAAGUCACUGUCUACGGAAAGACCGGCUGAAGGAGGGGGGUCGUUCGAGGAAGGAUAGAACGUCGUUGGCCACAAAUCGAGUCCCUGGAGGACUCUUCUUACAUCGUCUUUUCUCGGCCUCCCUCCCUUGGGUGCUGAUCGAGCGCUUGGCGUGGUGGUGCAGCAACACUUUUCUAUACACAAACAUGCGUGCUUAUGCACGAUGUACCGCCAUGAAAAGAGCUUGGCAUCUUAGUGUCUCUUGCCAUGUUUCGUUCCUUGUAUUCCGUUUUCGCAUCAAAACGCACAAGCCGGACGACAGCAGUUAGAUGGGAUGGUUGUACAGGGAUGUCUUCGAGUGUGGCAGUGCGAGCAGAGGAGAGGAAAGGGGGAGGGUGUGGUGGACAGGGGGGAGGGGGCUUUUCCUUUCGCUCGCUUACCAGCUUUCUGUUUCUCGUUGUUGGGCCAUCCACGUGACUCGGCACUCCAUUCGGGUUCGUAGGCGCUGAUGAUCACCACCGUCACCGCCCCUCUCACGCACUAGCAACGCCGUGCUGUCGUCUCUCUCUCUCUGGGUUGUUGCGAUCUGCACCCUUGUCUCUUCCUCUCCUUUCUCCCCCUCUCAAAAAUCGUGUGAUUUGCUUGUUUUCUUUUCCAGCAUGGUGCAGUUGUCUUUCAUCACCUCUGUUGUGUGUGUGUGUGUGUGUGUUCUGCUACACUCUUGUUCUUACUCCCUCUCUAUUAUUAGUGUUGCGCCUGUGAUGCGAGAGACGCUCACUCUCGGCCUCUCCACCUUCUUCCUCUGCAAACUUCGCUCACCCUUUUUCAUUUGCUUUCGGACUGCCUCUUUUUUUUCUCUUGCCCUCCGGCAUAAGAGCACUCGCUGGUGAGGGCUCGGUUGAGCACCGUGUUGUGCACACGGGUGGCCUCUUUCGUGUGCCGCACCGAACGCCUGAUCUCUCUCUCGCCUGGCACAAAACAUGAAGAAUGGGUGGCGUGAAUGCGCGCCUGUUGGGGAGGAGCGGAAGGGAGCAGCAUACAUUUUGAAGCGUAGGGCGUAGGGGUGCUAUAGGGUGACGUCGCGCUGUCCAUGCGUGUACUCGAGUGGUGGUGAGCGAAUGUGUUUUGCGGCUGUGCGUGCGCGCGGGAUCUCCGGGGGAUCUGUGACUCAGCCUUCCGUGAUCCACCUGCUUUACUUCACCUCCUCGGCGACUGCGAGUUCCCUCCGCACCCAGCCGAUCUCUGCCACACUUCCUGCCCUCUUUGUGUGCGGUUCCCUUAGCUUCUGUGAAGCGGCUCUUUUUUUUUCGUCCCUCAUCGGGGCUUUUUCUUUUCGUUUUGUCGCCGCUUCCAAAGACGCGCUGAGCCCCGGCGCCUUUGUUCGACUGCUCGCUUCACAGGCAGUCCGCCUCGCCCUCCCAUCCCUUGUCGCUUCUCCCUCUUCAUUACCUUUUAGACGAACCCGGAAUCUUCCGCAGAACGAGCAGAAGCAGGCACGCACGCACAC